AUCUCGAAAAAACAAUCUCAGUUCAGAUUGCAGGCUGCAACUCGCCUGCAUGAAGUCGGAAUUGCUAGUAAUCGUAGGUCAGCAUACUACGGUGAAUACGUUCCCGGGCCUUGUACACACCGCCCGUCAAACCAUGAGAGUUGGCAACACCCGAAGUCGGUAGUCUAACCGCAAGGAGGACGCCGCCGAAGGUGGGGUUGAUGAUUAGGGUUAAGUCGUAACAAGGUACC
rnacentral:rRNA from 1 species